UUCUCAGAUCUGGAUAAAAUUGCAAUGUGGAGUCUAAAGCUUAGAAAACCUGUGAUGGUCCUAUAAUCUGCCUUGCUUUAAGAAACAUCUUUACAGGAAAGUCAAACAGCAACAAAAAGCUGAAGGCAGAGGGAAGAACACAGAAGUGGGGAGCGAAGAAAGGCAAUCCUGGUCUUGGGGUUCUGGUUGUAAUAGAACUCUUGCGUGCUGGCCUGUUAGCAGAUGCGUGUUUUCAUUGUGUUCAGAUAUAGCUGGUCAGCAUGGCAAGAUCUGCUCAAAGUCUAGACAAGAGUGAAGGUAUGAAUGAUCAUGGUUGCUCUUCCCACAACACCAAAGAACAUAUGCAAAAUUUGUGCAGGUGGAACUGCUGCCCACUUUAUUCACCUAUGGAGUUGGCCACCUUUACGUGUUGGUAAAUGGUGGCUUCAGCCAUGUCCAAUCAAGCCAAACUUAUCUAAUGACCACUGGAUCUGAAAACAAGGUUAACAGGCUUUCAACCAUUUGCUGUGACUCCUUGAGCCAAAAUGCUUCAAGUUCACAUGAAAUAUCGAGUUAGACAAACCUAUCUUCCCAACAAUGGAGCAUGAAGAAUGCUUACUGAGCAAAUCUAGCCCAUGAUCUGCUCCAUAAAGAGAUGUAACCAAGGGGUAAAAAUGUCAACAAGUUCAGACCCACAAAGAUCUCCAUUGGAAGCGAAAACAUUCUACAGUCCUUCAUCUAAGUGUCGUGAAUUUCAGAGAACAGCUAUAACAUAUUAAAAAAAAUCUUUGUUACAUCCUUUCAAAAAGAAGGUUUAAGAAAAACAAUUAUGGAUUCGUGUAAUAACGAGUCACAGACCUAGAAGAGGCGCCUUUGCGCUCCAGUGUUGAAAAGCAUUCAUUGUAUUUACCGUUGUCUCCAGCGGAGAAAUAGGACCAGUGCUGCUUUGAACAUCAGCCCCAGGGUAGGACGGAAAGAGCAAGAUGAGCUAACUUUAAGGGGUCCAGAAAUUGUGAUUUACUUCUUUACUGUAGUACCGCUAAAGUGUUCAGUGUUUCCAGCCACAGGAGAUGGAACAGAGCCCGUUAAAGAGGAAAUAAGUGGCCAGAGUCAGCUCAGCCACACUAACCAAAUGCACAGCCUCAGAUGGAGACCCACGGUCGGCUCUUUCAGAUGUUAUUUUCAAAGUCUUCACAAAGGGCUGCGUGGUGAUUAUAUGUAUUCAUGAUGUGCAUAUCGUGUGCUCAGCUCAAAGGAUAUUUGAAUGAUGCAUCGAGAAUUAGUCCUAAAAAAGGAUUCUGCAUCUGUAAACUGCUUCGUCUCUGAGAAUGGGAAGGGAAAAAAAA